CUCUUCUUCAAGUACAGAAACAUAUCAUUUUCCGCAGUUAACAAGUUUUACUUGCUUUUCAAAAAUUUUUAUGGUAUCAUUCUAUAUAGUGUUGAAAAGAAGAGUACGAUCGAACGCUAGGCCUCAAGUUUGGGCAACAAUGGUUUUGACGUUAUUUUUCUUUUUGAUUCAAAUUCUUUAUUUUUAGGAGGCCUGCAAUAUAUGCAAGGUAAAGUAAAAUGGUUUAACGCAGAAAAAGGUUUUGGUUUUAUCGAAAGACCCGACGGUGAAGAUGUAUUCGUACAUUUCUCCGCCAUCCAGGCAGAAGGUUUCAAAACACUGGAAGAAGGACAGGAUGUUGAGUUUGAUGUUGUAGAAGGCAACCGUGGCCCGCAAGCGGCUAACGUUGUGCGUAUAUAAAUUAAACAAAAUGUCAGCAAAAAGCAUUUCCGCUAAGCGGAAAUGCUUUU
rnacentral:sRNA from 1 species